UGGGGAAUAUUGCACAAUGGGCGCAAGCCUGAUGCAGCCAUGCCGCGUGUGUGAAGAAGGCCUUCGGGUUGUAAAGCACUUUCAGCGGGGAGGAAGGCGAUAAGGUUAAUAACCUUGUCGAUUGACGUUACCCGCAGAAGAAGCACCGGCUAACUCCGUGCCAGCAGCCGCGGUAAUACGGAGGGUGCAAGCGUUAAUCGGAAUUACUGGGCGUAAAGCGCACGCAGGCGGUCUGUCAAGUCGGAUGUGAAAUCCCCGGGCUCAACCUGGGAACUGCAUUCGAAACUGGCAGGCUAGAGUCUUGUAGAGGGGGGUAGAAUUCCAGGUGUAGCGGUGAAAUGCGUAGAGGUCUGGAGGAAUACCGGUGGCGAAGGCGGCCCCCUGGACAAAGACUGACGCUCAGGUGCGAAAGCGUGGGGAGCAAACAGG
rnacentral:rRNA from 1 species